rnacentral:rRNA from 1 species
CACGUAGGCGGGCUAUCAAGCACCUUGUGAAAUCCCCCGGCUCAACCGGGGAACCGCUGGGUGAACGGAUAGCCUUGAGGCAGGUAGGGGCGUGGGGAACUCUUGGUGGAGCGGUGGAAUGCGUAGAUAUCAAGAGGAACGCCGGAGACGAAGGUGCCGCGCUGGGCCUGUCCUGACGCUGAGGUGCGAAAGCCAGGGGAGCAAACGGGAUUAGAUACCCCGGUAGUCCUGGCCCUAAACGAUGUCCACUAGGUCGAUGGUUCUCUGACGAAUUAUUGGCCGAAACAAAAGCGUUAAGUGGACCGCCUGGGGAGUACGGUCGCAAGGCUAA